GGUAAAGUGGCAGAACGGUUGAAUGCAGUCGCCUGGAAAGCGGCCAGAUUAGGUAACCCCUAGUCUCGGAGGUUCGAAUCCUCUCUUUACCGCAA
rnacentral:tRNA from 1 species